GAGUUUGAUCGUGGCUCAGAGUGAACGCUGGCGGCAGGCCUAACACAUGCAAGUCGAGCGGCAGCGCGGGGGCAACCCUGGCGGCGAGCGGCGGACGGGUGAGGAAUGCAUCGGAAUCUACCUCGUUGUGGGGGAUAACCUCGGGAAACCGGGACUAAUACCGCAUACGACCUACGGGUGAAAGUGGGGGACCGCAAGGCCUCACGCGAUGAGAUGAGCCGAUGCCGGAUUAGCUAGUUGGCGGGGUAAAGGCCCACCAAGGCGACGAUCCGUAGCUGGUCUGAGAGGAUGAUCAGCCACACUGGAACUGAGACACGGUCCAGACUCCUACGGGAGGCAGCAGUGGGGAAUAUUGGACAAUGGGCGCAAGCCUGAUCCAGCCAUGCCGCGUGUGUGAAGAAGGCCUUCGGUUGUAAG
rnacentral:rRNA from 1 species